AUUUUGAAUCACUUUUUCAUUGAUAAGCCUUUUCCUACAUCUAUUAGUUCACGUGCGAUUUCUCAUACAGGGGUCUCUGAUUAUGGGAUUUUCUCAACUCUCAACUACUUACUCUGCCCUCUACAUUUAAUGAUUCAUUUUCAUAUUCCAUUUGUAAAUAAAAGCAUAGACUGCCGUGAAUUUGACUACAUAUGGUCACAUAACCACCAAUAUAAUCAAGAUAAAAAUGAUAUUGUUAUAUCUUACAGGCUCCCUCAUUCACAACCAGGAUAACUACUAUUCUGAUUUUUAUGAUUGUAAUUUUGUUCCAGAAUGUCGUAAAAGUGGAAUCUUAUGGAACCACGCUUCCAGCACAUGAAACUUUGGAGACCCCCUCAAACUAUAUCCAAAUCACAGCAGGCUAUGGGUAAGCUUAUCUUCAUUUCCUCAGCUCCCUCAUGUAUAAAAGGUUGGGUGCCAGUUGCUUCUGAUUUCAAUGGUCCUGCUCAAUGGCUGUCAUUUCUUUGUCUUUUCUUUCCUUUUAUGUUUGUUUUGUUUUCUGCACUGCUAGAGAGCAUACCAGGCAUGUGAUUUCCUAUGAACCUACAGUCAUUUGCAUUACAAGUGGUCAUGGUCCCUGUCUAUCGGAAGGUAGGUUUUGUAGAACCUGUCAUUUCCUGGGAAAUUGUUCUCCAUCUCAUUUCAUGUUGGGUGAGUCCUUUUCUCACAGAAUAGACUAGACUCGAUGCAACAGGAAACACUGAGAAUCAAUUCUUUGUUAUUAUAGACCCUAUUCCUGCGUCCCGGUAGGAGACCAUCAACCAGAAACUUUUUGCAAAUCCUCCGAAGGGGACAGAAGCAAUGAGAGCUGCUCUUGCUCCCUCGAUGCAGUAGUGUAGCAUUUACUCACUUCUGUAAUAACCCGAAAUGGUCUAGUGUUAGCAUUCUUCGAGCAGUUGGCAAUUAUAGUCAGAGAUUGUUGUUAAUUUUUUUUAAAGCAGCUUAUGGCAGUGACAAAAAAAUGAUUGCUUCUGAAAAUUCAUGGAGUGUCAGCUUCGUCCACCAUCAUGGAGAAUACUAUUAAACUGUGAGGCACUGAGAAAAUGAAGCAAGAAAUAUCAAGCAGCUGUACUGAGAGUGGAGUCCAAAGAUUCAGAGCUGAGGGAGAGCAUAUUGGCAUCCAAUAUAUCACAUCUUCACUGACCGACUCUCUCUUUCUCUGUUUCUUUUCUAUUUUUCAUUCUCAGAACACUCCAGGGCAAUGUGAGCCCCAGCUUCAGAACACAGUGCCAAAAGAGAACUCACCUAACCUGUGGUUGUCCUGCUUCAGGACAUGUCGAGGGUCACUGCAUUGCAGCUGGGACAGAACAAACUCAUCCUUGGCCACAGGGUGCCUUGGGAUUGCUCUGGAUGUUUUGAAGAGGGAAACCCAGUGGUCAGCUCAUAGAUAUCCACUAAGGUGACUUGAUGAUGGGUAGGUACUUCUGAUGAAGGAGGCAUCUGACAAAGGAGGGGAGGAAUCUGUAACAGUGAAGGACACUGAGAAGCACAUUGAGACAGCUGCUUAAGACCACCAACACCUGUGUCAUCCACUUUUGCCAUGACAAUACUUCUUUGGGUCUAAGGUGACUCAGCUAUUGAGCACAAUGAAGUACUUCAGUCAAGAGAGCUUUUGCCUGAUGCACAGGAAGCCUUCGAAGUCCUUUUGUUUACCAGCUCUUAGGAUUGUUGUCUGGUAUAGAUCUG
rnacentral:lncRNA from 1 species